UGACGGUACCGGAGAAUAAGCACCGGCUAACUACGUGCCAGCAGCCGCGGUAAUACGUAGGGGGCAAGCGUUAAUCGGAAUUACUGGGCGUAAAGCGAGCGCAGGCGGUGAUGUAAGACCGAUGUGAAAUCCCCGGACUCAACCUGGGAACUGCAUUGGUGACUGCAUCGCUUGAGUAUGGCAGAGGGGGGUAGAAUUCCACGUGUAGCAGUGAAAUGCGUAGAGAUGUGGAGGAAUACCGAUGGCGAAGGCAGCCCCCUGGGUCAAUACUGACGCUCAUGCACGAAAGCGUGGGGAGCAAACAGGAUUAGAUACCCUGGUAGUCCACGCCCUAAACGAUGUCAACUGGUUGUCGGGUCUUCAUUGACUUGGUAACGUAGCUAACGCGUGAAGUUGACCGCCUGGGGAGUACGGUCGCAAGAUUAAAACUC
rnacentral:rRNA from 1 species